rnacentral:rRNA from 1 species
AUUGAACGCUGGCGGCAGGCCUAACACAUGCAAGUCGAACGGAGCGGCGGACGGGUGAGUAAUGCCUAGGAAUCUGCCUGGUAGUGGGGGAUAACGUCCGGAAACGGGCGCUAAUACCGCAUCCUCUCAGAUGAUCCUGGGUCGGAUUAGCUAGUUGGUGGGGUAACGGCCUACCAAGGCGACGAUACGUAACUGGUCUGAGAGGAUGAUCAGUCACACUGGAACUGAGACACGGUCCAGACUCCUACGGGAGGCAGCAGUGGGGAAUAUUGGACAAUGGGCGAAAGCCGGAUCCAGCCAUGCCGCGUGUGUGAAGAAGGUCUUCGGAUUGUAAAGCACUUUAAGUUGGGAGGCGUUACCAACAGAAGAAGCACCGGCUAACUUCGUGCCAGCAGCCGCGGUAAUAC